UACGUAGGGGGCAAGCGUUGUCCGGAAUCAUUGGGCGUAAAGAGCGUGUAGGCGGUCCGGUAAGUCGGCUGUGAAAGUCCAGGGCUCAACCCUGGGAUGCCGGUGGAUACUGUCGGGCUAGAGUGCGGAAGAGGCGAGUGGAAUUCCUGGUGUAGCGGUGAAAUGCGCAGAUAUCAGGAGGAACACCUAUUGCGAAGGCAGCUCGCUGGGACGCAACUGACGCCUGGAGAACGCGGAAAGCGUGGGGAGCAAACAGGAUCAGAUACCC
rnacentral:rRNA from 1 species